AACAAAUGAGAAACGACAGAAGGAAGCGCAUCAGAGAAGUAAAUUUGUGCAGGGAAAUGGGUGUGUCCAAGCUGCAGCGGAGUAACAGCACGUAGUAUUUGCAAACGAACAGGAGAAAACGUCCAGAUCAAUUACAUGAAAUCGCAUUUGAUAUAUAAAACAAUCUUGUCACAGCUAAGAACUAGGAAAAUACGACAACGGAAAAUAGCAAGAAACCCACUGAGAAUGCUACAAAUGCUGUGAUCCAUUUUUGGGUGAUACAGUAAAACACUAAUUUGUGUACUUACAAAAAGGUGGACUCAUCCUUAAUCCAAUAAUAUUUUUCUGCAACCAC